AUACGGAGGGUGCAAGCGUUACUCGGAAUCACUGGGCGUAAAGCGCGCGCAGGCGGCUUGAUAAGUUGGAUGUGAAAGCCUACGGCUCAACCGUAGAACUGCAUCCAAAACUGUCAGGCUAGAGUGUGGGAGAGGAAGAUGGAAUUAGUUGUGUAGGGGUAAAAUCCGUAGAGAUAACUAGGAAUACCAAAAGCGAAGGCAAUCUUCUGGAACACUACUGACGCUGAGGCGCGAAAGCGUGGGGAGCAAACGGGAUUAGAAACCCUAGUAGUCC
rnacentral:rRNA from 1 species